GCCAGGCAUGGUGACGCACACCUAUAAUCCCAGCAGCUCGGGAGGCUGAGUCAGGAGGAUCGCUAGUUCAAAGCCAGCCUCAGCAAAAGUGAGAUGCUAAGCAACUCAGUGAGAUCCUGUCUCUA
rnacentral:sRNA from 1 species